rnacentral:rRNA from 1 species
AUCACUGUUUUUGGGUUUUUAUUUUAAAUGUUUUAUUUAUAAGUAUUUUAUGUUUAUUAGGGUUUAAUAUUAAAGGAUUUUUGUUUUAGUUUUUUUUAUCAAAUGGCGUGCCAGCAGUUGCGGUUAUACGAUUAAGUUUCUAAAUUUUUUUUGAAGAUUGAUUUUUUCUUUUUAUUUUUGAAAUGAAAGGUGAAAUUUUUAUUUCUUUUUUUUUAUUGGUUUUUCUUUUGAGUUUUUAAAGGAAGAGGAUUAGAUACCCUUUUAAAAUUUUUUUAGGUAUUAAUGAUUGAGUUUUAAACCUAAGGUUUCUGGCGGUUUUUUUUCUAUUCAGAGGGGCUUGUUUUGUAAUCGAUAGUCCGCGUUUAAAUUUUCUUCUUUUAUUAUUUUGUAUACCUCCGUUUGAAGAUGGUUAUUUGUUUAUUUUUCUUUUUAAAAUUAUUAUUUAAUUCAGGUCAAGGUUCAAUUUAUAAGUGAGAAAAAAUUAGCCAUAUCUUUCUAUCUAUUUUUUAAUUGGAUUUUUAGGAUUUGUUUGUAAAUUUAUGUUAAUUUCUUUUUUUGAAUUUGUAAAAAAAAAUGUACAUAUCGCCCGUCGCUCUUUUAGAAGAUAAGUCGUAACAAAGUAGUUGUAUUGGAAAAUGCCUCUUGUUUA